AUUAUAUGGAUAUGACGGCGCUUCGAUAAAUCGUGGUGGUUCUCCAAAGAGUGUUAGGUGCAAUGGGAAUCAUCCAAGGAGGUUUAUUGUAGGCUCAUUGUACCUCUCGCUCUUGACACAACACUGAGCACUGGCAGCCUAGAAAAGUAAUGACAACCGUUCCUUUUGUUUCUAAUGACAGUCAGUCAGUCAGAUUGGUUCGGGCUUUUGUGAAUGGCGGUCACGUGAUCUGUGGCGUGUCGAUGGAGUUCUGUAUUUCCUAUUUUACAUGAUUAUUGAGAAUUAUUGGAUGUUAAGCUUCGAAGUGUGAUUAAAGCGCUGAUUGUAUUGUAACAGUGAAUUUUAUUCUCCUCGCCCGAUAUACUCACGCCUACCAUGAUGAUUCUAUGACGAAACUGUAACACAUUCCUAGUUCCUAACUCCUGAUGUGGGGCCACUCCCUACAUCAGAAGUGGGAUUCGCAGGGCUUAAACCUGGGGGGAGUAAGAUUCAUUUGUUCCGCGGCUCCGCGCAUUGCUACAUCAUGGAGCUGUUGCCAUGCCGAACGGUGAUGACGUCACAAAAGACGAUCGCGAUUUUCAUGCGGCUGAUCCGCGUUGAUGCUGAUGCGAUGGAAGCUAUAAAAGUGGCUAAUAUCAAAGAUCGAUGCAAGGAAUAUGCGAUAAAAUGAAGAUUAACUUCCGAAACGAGUUAAAGUGAAAAAGUACAGCAGCCGUCGGCGGAUGUUCCAUUGUACUACGUGUGAAGAAUUGUCCUGGUCAUAUUUCUUCUCAACUCUUUUGAAGCUGCUGUUGUAGAUGUCUGUGAACGAGCUUCGUGACGCCUGUUCUAUGCUGCAAUCAGAGGUUUUAUGUAGCGCGUAGAGUUACCAACCCGGGUGAGAAUAUUCCAGUUUUAAUUCAGGCUUUUGGCUGGUGUUUAACGAAAGUAGCACAUCUGACAUUUUGUGACAAUUUGCAAUCCACAUCUACAUAGUCUAAAUAUCGCGCUUGUAACUAUAGCAGUGAAACGAGUGUCGGGUUCGAUUCCCAAGACAGGCCUGGUUGAAAUUGUCGCAUGGCUUAUCUUACUCUGGCUAGUAGUAGAGACACACACAGUGAUGGUCGUUUCGAAAUUACCGUGUUCUUUAGCUGUCGUGUUAGAUAACUGCCUGAAUAAAGUUAGCCAAGAGCUUCUUCAUUAACUUCUUUACGAGUCAAUGACAAACGACUCUAAUUUUGUAUGCCCAGCAUUUUACCAAUUAGACAGCGCAGGCAGUAGCGUCUCAUAGAUUUUGUAUUGUAGGUAUUGGAGCACGUUAGACAACAUUGAAGAGGCCGAUGCCGUGUUGUCCGCGGUCUGAUGCCGCACACUCAUCUAUCAUCAUCGGUGAAGCUCUACUUGAAAUGGUUGCCCUCGCGUCCACCAAUCUGCGUGCCCGAUCGGUUAAGAGACGUCAAGGAACUGUACAGGGGGAAAGAAUGGCUUCUGCCGUGAAGACGUGCUCUGUUGCCAGACACUUCUAUGUCUUUCUGUCUACUAGAGCUAAGUAUUGUGUGUGAUUACUUAUUUUGUAAUCCGCCUAUGUGAAAUCAGUUUAGCGGCUAUUAAAGUGUGGUUUGCUGGUUUCCAGAUUAAGAGUGCACUAAAGUUUGUGGAAGGGUGCAAGCAAUCAUUCUAAUUUGAUUUUAAAACAUGCAUCAGAUUGUAGUUCUCUUGGUAAAGUUACAGAUUACUAAAUAGUUUCUACAGUAAAGUGUUGCUCACCUGUUUAGUAAGUUUAUUGAGUUCAGUUGUACAUACGAUGGUUGUUGAGACUUGGACAAGAUGCGUAUGCUUGUGAGCUCGCACCGGGGGGAAUGAAAAGAAAUCUGUGUGUGUGUGUGAGUUCAGGGUGUGUGUGUGAGAAACUAUGUGGCACAGUUGAGGGUUUGAAAAUAACGUUGGUUUAACACAGCUUAUUCAGUUACGGCACUUGUUUAAUGGUAAUGUUACUAAUGCUCUAACCCUUGGCAAGUAUUUCAGCGAAGGUACAAGUAUGGUAACCACGCUUACGGUAAUGGUAUCGGUUUCCAUUGUUACAUGUCAAGCUAGUUAUUGAAGGUAUGCUAGAAAAUUAACCGAAUUUGUCUUUCAUGUUUCAACAAUGGCGGUGACUAUUGUGCAAUAAUAUGGCGACAAAAUUACUGCGGAGUGUCCCAGCUGCCUGCCAGGAGCCCAACGUGUCAUCGUGAGGUCGGGGUGUUUGUGCUCGUGCAUCUCCGGGAUGUCUGCGAACGUGAAGCCUCGCUGUUCUGCGCGCCAUAGCAAUGUGCGCAUCGUCACGCACGUUGAGUGGAAACCCGGUGAGACCGAUCCAGUUUUGCUUUGUGUUGAAGUUAUUUGUCUUACGACAUUUAUAAACUUGAGAGGCAGUUUCAGUCUCGUUGAUUAGUGGGAGCGCUUAUUAAUUAGUGGAAUUGUAGAUAAUUGGAAUCAAAAACCGUGAACCUAGGUUUGAUCCCAGAGUUGAAAAUUAUUAGUUGCCUGAUCUCAUCAAUAUCCUAAAGUUAGAAUAAUUCAGUUUCUGCGUCAUUGUUUGAUUAAGUUUAGUAGCAUUUGAUGGAGGUGUUACUGUUUACUGGUGCAAUGCCUGAUGGAGGCAUUGUUCGAUUUAGUGCUUGACGGAGGCACUGUAACCAUUACGCAUGAGGAAGGCGUUUGGUUCUUUUUGGUCCCAAACCAUACACCGCUUGAUGGAGGCGUUGUGUGUUGAUUUGCGUGCUUGAUGGAGGCUAUGUGUAGAAUCGCGAUAUGUUUUAGGAUGUUGAUGUGUGAUUAAUGAUGGUAGUAGUUUUUAAUUAAUGAAAUCGUAGAUGAUGAAAGCUACGUUCACAGGGCUGACAUGUGUGUAUGCUCGUGUGUUGCGCUUCAAUCACAGGGUUGAUUGACUGUUAAGUUGGAAGUCACAGAGAUGACUGCCGUUGAACACUUGUCUCAGGGAUGGCUGAAGUGUGUAUCUUAUGUUUGGUCACAGGGAUGACCUGGUUUCUGUUUGUCAAGUAAAACCUCAAAUUGAAAUAUUUCAGUUUUCCGUCAUUUGAUUGAAUUGUGCAUUAGACUAUAAAUUUUUGGUAAGGUGUUACGUCCACCGUUGCGUUAAGUUGUACCAAUGAUGGAUACCGGGGUGACUUGGAAAAGACCCGAUGGCCUAUGUGAUGGCAUCGGGGUGACCAAGAAGAGACCUGUGUAAAGUCUGCGGUUACUGUUGUUUUUAUUGUGUUAAGCUGUACCUAUGAUGGGUAUCGGGGUGACCUGGAAGAGACUCGUUGGCCUGUGUGACGGCAUCGGGUUGACCAGGAAGAGACUCGUAUACAUCUGUGGUACAGUUAGUGUCAUGUCACUGUGGUUGUGGUUGUGGUCCCUAGGAGGCCAGGAUGGGCUGAGAGCUCGGCUAAGGGACACAACGGUCAUAUGAAGCCUAGCGAGUAGAAGGCGUUGAUGUGAAUGACAACCGUAGCUGUAAUGAUUUAGUAAUUUACAAGUUGAGUCUGACUAGCAAUUCGAUCUUUCUUUGAUUUCGUGCGUAGUAUUUAUUGUAUCUAGUUUCUUCAUUCAAUUAGUGAUUGCUAUUCUUUAAAUCUGUAACAUGUAUGUGGGUCUCACUAUCUUGCAUAACCAGAAGGUCAGUUGCUGACCCAUAUGUUGUCAAUAUUUGAUCGGUUGCCUAAGCACUUUCUAUUUCUGGCUUAACAGAUAUCAUCUUGAGAACAGAACGAGAUCGACUAAGAGGGCGCCGUGCGAGGUGUUGCUGCACAUGCUGCGUAUGCUGGCUUCGACUGCACUUCUAGAAUCCGAGACGGCGCUUGAAACUGUAGUGGUAACGUCGGUGCUAUGGUGGACUGAGUUGAUGGGUUUGUGGCCGAGUUGACGAGGUUUAUCGCUACGUCAUGAUCAGGUGGUCUGUUUUGUUAUUUAUGUAGUAUGGAGACGGGGGAGAGUAAAUUAAUGUGGACCAUGUGGGUUUACUUUACUACUGUGGCUUCUAAUGUAACUAUGGACUUAGGAGGCCGAGACGGCGGUUCACGACCAUGGAAUUUAGAAAGUAUCAUGUGAUGAUGACAGUUACGUCGACAAUGCUGAUUUUGUGGUUUAUGUACUUUGACAUACCUACCUAACUGAUGGCUUCUGAAAGUGAUGAUUGGCGACUAACUUAACCGUUACUGAUUAUGUGUACUGUGGGGACAGAUGUUCUAUUACAUGUGACAGAUCUUGGGGACUGGUUCGCAGGACCGUUGACACGUAUCUAGUGUGACUGAUGAAUGACUGAAUGAAUAACAGGAACUGGCCCUCUGGGUCGAUGUUCUACGACCUGUGUUAACUGUGACUGAUUUUCGUGUGUGCUCACUGGGACGCUGUAGCACGGCAUGGGGGUCAUGUUAAGAGCUGGCUUAUCUUGGCUGCAGGUUCUGGUGACUCUAACCAUGUCGCUUAGCACAGUCCAGUGGGACUUGACUAUUUGACUUGGCCGCGAGGCGGCGUGUGUUGCCAUGUGAGUUGGCGUUGUGAGUUGGCCACGAGGUGGCGUGUGGAGCCAUGUGAGUUGGCGUUGUGUGUUGGCCACGAGGUGGCGUGUGGUGCCAUGAGAGUUGGCAUUGUGACUUGGCCGCGUGGCGGCGUGGACAGAGAUUGACGACUAAGAACAAGAGACAGAUUUUGACGAUAGGGUGACAUGUGGUCCGAGUGUGAUGACAAAGGACAUGUGGUCCGAGAGUGAUGACGAAGGACAUGAGGUCCGGGAGUGACGACAAAGGACAUGAGGUCCGAGAGUGACGUUGGGGAACGAGUAGUCAGAGCUUGACGAUGAAGUACUAGUGGUCAGAGAUGGACGAGCGUGUGACAUGUUUGUACAGGCUGUUCUUCAUUACAGAUUGAAGCGACAGAGAAGCUGGAGUCACAGAGGCGCACGAGGACGUGCGAAAGUCAGUAUGGCCGUGACGGCGCUUCGAUAAAUCGUGGUGGUUCUCCAAAGAGUGUUAGGUGCAAUGGGAAUCAUCCAAGGAGGUUUAUUGUAGGCUCAUUGUACCUCUCGCUCUUGACACAACACUGAGCACUGGCAGCCUAGAAAAGUAAUGACAACCGUUCCUUUUGUUUCUAAUGACAGUCAGUCAGUCAGAUUGGUUCGGGCUUUUGUGAAUGGCGGUCACGUGAUCUGUGGCGUGUCGAUGGAGUUCUGUAUUUCCUAUUUUACAUGAUUAUUGAGAAUUAUUGGAUGUUAAGCUUCGAAGUGUGAUUAAAGCGCUGAUUGUAUUGUAA
rnacentral:lncRNA from 1 species